AGUUUGUUUCCAGUUUUUGGAGAAAAAAAUAAUUUGUUUUUGAUUCUGAGAAAAAAAAAUUGUUUGUUUCACCCUCAGCUGCCACUAUAUGUAAUGCUAAAAUUGAAAGAAAAAAAUUGUUUUCGACUUGUCGUGAAAAAAAUAGAUUGUUUAUCGCCACAGGCGAAAAAAAAAAUUUGUCCAGAAAAAAAAACCAUAGCCCCCCCCCAGAAAAUCAAAUGGUU
rnacentral:lncRNA from 1 species